UACGUAGGGACCAAGCGUUGUUCGGAUUUACUGGGCGUAAAGGGCGCGUAGGCGGCAUGACAAGUCACUUGUGAAAUCUCCGGGCUUAACUCGGAACGGCCAAGUGAUACUGUCAAGCUAGAGUGCAGAAAGGGCAAUCGGAAUUCUUGGUGUAGCGGUGAAAUGCGUAGAUAUCAAGAGGAACAUCUGAGGCGAAGGCGGGUUGCUAGGCUGACACUGACGCUGAAGCGCGAAAGCCAGGGGAGCAAACGGG
rnacentral:rRNA from 1 species